rnacentral:rRNA from 1 species
AACGAACGCUGGCGGCAGGCUUAACACAUGCAAGUCGAACGGUUGUAGCAAUACAGCAGUGGCGCACGGGUGAGUAACGCGUGGAUAUCUGCCUUUUGGUUCGGAAUAACUCCGGGAAACUGGAGCUAAUACCGGAUGGUUCCUACGGGAUAAAGAUUUAUCGCCAAAAGAUGAGUCCGCGUACGAUUAGCUAGUUGGUGAGGUAAUGGCUCACCAAGGCGACGAUCGUUAGCUGGUCUGAGAGGACGAUCAGCCACACUGGGACUGAGACACGGCCCAGACUCCUACGGGAGGCAGCAGUGGGAAUAUUGGACAAUGGGGGCAACCCUGAUCCAGCCAUGCCGCGUGAGUGAUGAAGGCCUUGGGUUGUAAAGCUCUUUGGUCGGGGACGAUGAUGACGGUACCGCCAGAAUAAGCCCGGC